UGGCUGCCGUCAACGAGAGGCAAUGUCGUCUUCUCCAUGAUCUACUCCGGGUGCAGAAUCUCUCUGGACAAUGUGCCGUUUCGAGUUGUCAAGGAAACCGUCAAAGUCUGCAUAUUUGUAACCGAGUACUAUAAGAAGACUCCAGGUGGAAAAAAGAC
rnacentral:lncRNA from 1 species